GUUGAUUCCUGGAUCCUGGUCCGAGUCCUGGUUUCGAACUGAUGCUACCAGCCCUCCUCUCCACUGCUGCUUAUAAAGUCAUCAUUACAAUACGCAUCAUAAUCAACUCACUGUACACCUUUUAGUAAUCAACGCUAAUUUAAGAGAUUCUACUCCGUGGCGAACCUAGCUCCUGAUUGGUUACUCUGAGGCGAGCUUGGUUCUGACAGGUUAAGGCCAUUACAUGUUGUGUAAGGGUGUGUGUGUGUGU